rnacentral:lncRNA from 10 species
AUAAAUGAUGAUCUUCAUAACAUAAAAUCAAUGAUGUAGUACACUAGAAUACUGUCCCUAGUAUUGAAUCUUGUCUCUCAGCAAAGGGUUCUGACUAAUGUGAGUUAAUCUCAACAUAUGAAAUAGUAGAUUAACAUUGAAAAUGCAAUAAAUAAAAUUAGCUACCUCAAGAGUUUAAUGGAAAAAAAUGUGAUUAUUGCAAUAGAUUCAGGAAAUUCAUGAAUAACAUUCACCCUAUAUUUGUAGGACAACUAUCUGAUUAACUUUAAGUGACCUGUGACAACCACUUGAAUUAAUGCUGCUUUCACAGCAUAUCUCUUGGCUUGUUAAAAACCCGACAAGAAUUUCCGUAACAUUAUUUUUAACACCUAUAUUGGGUGUGAACCCACCAUAAAGUUUGCCCACUGAAAAGGUCUAGAAUUUGAUGCUUU